rnacentral:rRNA from 1 species
ACUACUAUGUAGAGUUUGAUCAUGGCUCAGAGCGAACGCUGGCGGCAGGCCUAAUACAUGCAAGUCGAGCGGAUCCUUCGGGAUCAGCGGCGGACGGGUGAGUAACGCGUGGGAACGUGCCCUUUGGUACGGAACAACUGAGGGAAACUUCAGCUAAUACCGUAUGUGCCCUUCGGGGGAAAGAUUUAUCGCCAUUGGACGGCCCGCGUUGGAUUAGGUAGUUGGUGAGGUAAAGGCUCACCAAGCCUACGAUCCAUAGCUGGUCUGAGAGGAUGAUCAGCCACACUGGGACUGAGACACGGCCCAGACUCCUACGGGAGGCAGCAGUAGGGAAUCUUGCGCAAUGGGCGAAAGCCUGACGCAGCCAUGCCGCGUGAAUGAUGAAGGUCUUAGGAUUGUAAAAUUCUUUCACCGGGGACGAUAAUGACGGUACCCGGAGAAGAAGCCCCGGCUAACUUCGUGCCAGCCGCCGCGGUAAU